AGCGGCGGACGGGUGAGUAACGCGUGGGUAACCUGCCUUAUACAGGGGGAUAACAGUUAGAAAUGACUGCUAAUACCGCAUAAGCGCACAGUACUGCAUGGUACAGUGUGAAAAACUCCGGUGGUAUAAGAUGGACCCGCGUCUGAUUAGCCAGUUGGCGGGGUAACGGCCCACCAAAGCGACGAUCAGUAGCCGACCUGAGAGGGUGACCGGCCACAUUGGGACUGAGACACGGCCCAAACUCCUACGGAAGGCAGCAG
rnacentral:rRNA from 1 species